GACGCUUUAGCUCAGUGGGAGAGCGAGCGAGUGAAGCGCAGCAGCGCCCAGUUCGUUCGGUCGUGUGUUCAAUCCACACAAGCGUCA